GUCAUUGGUGCUAAUUUAUAUUUCUUUUUUUGAAAACAUAUUUUUUGACUAACUAUUGAAUAAUGGUUCUUUGCUUUAUAUGAUUAUAUCAAUUCCUUCUACAGUUUAGAUUUGAUCCCAUUAUCAGAAAUAUCUAAUCUGAAGAGCUUUUCCCUAAAGAAUAUCUUUUCUUCUUAUUCUAACUCCAUCAAUUUAUUCUUGUAAAAGCAUUUAAACCUGAUAUUAUACGAAAGAUCUAUUUUAUCCUUUCUGAUCUUCUCUAUUCUUUGAAUGUUUAUUAAUUUCUCCCAGAAACACAACUCUGAAAAGAACCUUCUUUUAUUCCCUUCUAAUUCUGGUUUUGAUUUUUUUGUUGUUGUUUUAAUUGUUAAUUAUAUAGUAUUCUAUGAUCAGGUUACAUUCAUUUGUAGUUUAUUUAGUAUAUGGUAUAAGAUGUUGGUCUAAGGUCAAUUUUUCCCAGACUGCUUUUGAUUUUUCUCAACUGGGAAUGCUUUCACCAGUGAAUUUCAUUCCUGUAUUUAUUGAAUACUAUUAUAUUUGUUUCUGAGUCUGACUUAAUUAGUCAUCAUCCCUAUUGUGACUCCAAAUCAUAGGCAAAAGUUAAAGCACUGUCCUGGGCCAUUUUCACUUCUUUCUCUACAUUCUUUUACUUGAUGACUUCAUCAGCUUCCAUAGAUUUAAUAAUCAUUUCUAUUCAUCUGGCUAUUAUAAUUAUAUUAGUCUGUCUCCUGAGCCACAGGUAUGAAUCACUAACUACCUAUUAGGUAUUUCAUUUAUCUCCCAUGCCAGGUAUAUUCUUCCUCCUCACCUCCAUUCUUUGAAUAUUACCUUACUUCUUUUUUCAUGACACCUUUCUUAUUCUCCUAGCUCUCUCCCAAAACUUCUUUUGUUUUGCACCUUUGUGCUUCAUGUAUGUUGUUUUGUGUUAGUUAUCUCUGUUUGUUCCAUAUCCUAGUCUUAGACUAUAAGCUCAAUAAAGGCAGAUAUCAAGUCUUAUCUAAGUGUGUUUUUUUUAAAUUUCUCUUAGUACUUAACUCAAUUUUCUUCAUAUAUUUGGAAUUUAAUCAAUAUCUAUUGCAUUAGUCAAAUACUAUAUUGUCUCAUUAUAAUAGCAAUAUUUAAAUAAAGAUUUUAAUAUUUCAAAGAGUUUUGGUAGACUUUCAUAAAUAAUUGUGUAUUCAUUUUUAGCAAUAUAACUCAAUAGACUGUCUUUCAGAAUAAAUACUAUGUAAAAUACAUGAUAAUGAGAUAAUAGAACUAGGGAAAUAUACAGAGGUCUUCAGAAAUUCCUUGCACUGACAAAAUAAACUAUAUUUGUAAACAUUUGAAAGUUAUAUUUUCUACACAAAUAGAAUUACAUUAGCCAGCUCUCGUCUCUCUCCCAAUCUCUGUUCCUACAUUACCAAUCAGUCCCUUCAAACUACAUGCUUCAUUGGCAUCUCAAAUUCAUCAUCUCUAAAAUGGAACUCAGUUAUCAUUGUUGCCAAAAUUGCCUUUCUUCUGAACUUUCCCUUAUCUGUCAAGGUAACCACAAUCUUUUCAGUAAACGUAAUUUGUAACCUAACAGUCAUUCUUGAUUCCUCUCUUUCCCUUUUCAUGCAUAUCUAUUCAGCUGCCAACGCUUUUUUAUUCUUCCUCCAUGACAUUUCUCACAUCUAUAUCCUUUUUUUCCACACACAUGAUCACCAUCCCAAUUCAAGUCCUUAUUGCCUCUAACAUAUAUUGAAACAGCCUCUUAAUUGGUGUCCCUAUCUCAAACUUCUCCCUCUCUCCAAUCCAUCCUUCACAUAAUUGCCAACAUAAUAUUCCUAAAGCACAAUUCUGAUCAUGUCAAGCCUCAGAACUUCCUAUGGCAUUUAAGAUCAAGAACAAAGUUCCCUAACAUUUAAGGCUCUUCAUAAACUGGCUUUAACCUAUUUUGAUAGACUUAUUAUACUUUGUUCCUCUUUAUGGACUUUAUGGUCAAGCAAACUGGCUUUCUUGUUAGUCUUCAUCUCUUGCCACGGUUAGGGUCCAGCCUCACUCAUGACUCCAAUAGGUGGCAAACGAUCAGUCAAAAUAAAUAACAAAUGGAAGACAGCUUAAUCAUUAUAGCCAUGGGACUGCUUUGCAUCUUACAGCUGCUCCACCAUUCCCAGGCUUGAUUUUUAUUUUUAUACCAAUUUUCUUGGCAUACAGAUUGCAUUACCUAACACACAUGUUCAAAGAGAGAUAACUGGAAAAGUGAUGCAUUAACUUUUAACAAAUCACUUGAUUAACAUUCUAUAUUCUUAUAUUGUGAUUACAGAUAGCAUACAAGAUAAAUGAUUUCAUCACAGGUGGCUUAAUUUUCUCAUUACCCUGUGAGAAGCUUUGAGCUUACAAACAAUCAAGGAAAAUUACUUAUUGCUUUUAAUAAAAUGGAAUAAUUAAUCAGCAGUUCUUAAAAGACAAUUUAACAAUCUAUGAGGGUGAGGGAUACUGGGAACAUAAUUCAAAUUUAGACUGGUGGCUUCUAGGAAGUUUCUGAGUUACUGAUUUGUGUAAUUGAGUCACUGAGGUAUACUGAAGCUUGAUGUACUUGUACUUAUUGCAUGGGCCUCUAUGAUUGAUUUGUGUGCUGGCUUUAUGAGAAUAGGCUUCUGAGAGUGGGAAAGUUUUGGGCUUGGACUGUAGCUGAGGUUUUGCUGGGAAUUAUGUACCUAAGUAAAAGUUAACCCAUGAUAGUCUUUUGGGGAUUGGGUUUAAGGGUCUGAUCUUUUGGUGAUGUUUUGGGGAAUAAGGGUACAUGUGUUUUGCUCUUGCAUUAUUUCUUUUGAGACUAGGGGAAUAAUAAUCAUAUCAAUUCAUAGGCAAGGGGCAUUGAUGAAAGAGGUCAUAUAGAAGGGGAUUGGGUGGGCAAUCACAUCUUGCCAAGGACCACUCUGUGGUCUCCCCAGCUACCACGUGUGACUCUGUCAAGGCGUUGUGGUCUGAUGGCUCCCAGCAAUCUCUGUAUCUUUUUACAGUCUAUUUCCAAUGCCUGAAAUGCACUCUUUUCUUGCCUCUGCUUCCUAAGCAGAUAAGAGUUGGUGAGGACUUGAAACAGGGUGUUGCCCCUGUGAAAGGAGAAGAAGCAGAUCUCAGAGAUUUAGAGGGAAAAUCAUUAAGAUUCUCCUUUGUGAGGCAUUUCCUGAUAUCCUCAGUUAUUAGUCACCUCCCUCAUUAUCUUAAAACUACUUUUUUUUCCUUUUGCAUAUUCAUCGUGUACCUGUUAUCUCCCCCAAUAAAUGUAAGCUCCUUGAGAACAAGAAUUGUUUAUGUUUACAUAUUUAGCAUGCAGCACUGUGACUAGAGAAUAUUUGGCAUUUAAUAGAUGCUUAAAGGAGACUGUGUAUUGCUCAAGGUGCUGAAAUCAAUAUUGCUAUCAAAUUUUAAGGGUCAUGGACAAACUACAAAGGGGUAUGCUUAUAAUUUCUAAUCUUAAGUAGCUGCUCCCUAGGUAAUUAAAUUUAUUUGGUCAUACUAAGGAGUUCCUCUGAAGAAAGGCAAACUUAGAAGAUAACAUUGUUAACACAUUAAAAAGGCUUCCUAAAAAAAUAAUUCAUAUAAUUACUCAACUACUUUUGUACCCUACUAAGACUAAAAGAAAUCAUUUUUAUGAGACACCAAAAGAGAUGUGGGGAUCUUCAUAAAGUGGUACAUAUAGUUAGGAGAAAAGAAUAAGCAUUUGUGAUGCAGCAAGUAUAGGCCAGACACUACACUAAGUGCUUUACAAAUAUUAUCCCAUUUGAUCCUCACAACUUUGGGAGGGUUUCAAUUCUUAUCUCUUAAAAAGUAAUUUCUAAAGUUGUUGUUGUUGUUGUUGUUGUUGUUGUUCUUCUUCUUCUUCUUCUUCUUCUUCUUCUUUUUUGCUUUCAACUUCUUCAAACAAAGUUCCAUUUUAGGGAUAGAUUGUGAUUUGUGAGCUUGUAUAAACAUCAAAAUACCCCUAAAGCUGUUUCUUUUAGCCAUAUGAGCUUAUGAGGUGACCAAAUCAGAUACUUUAAGGAGAGAAGAGGACAGAGCCUUAGGGAACAACUAUACUUAGGGGAUGAGAAGUGGGAAAUGAUCCAGCAUAGAAGACUAAGAAAUAAUAAGACAGAUAAGAUGAAAACCAAGGGACAACAGUAUUUAUGAAACCCAGAAAGGAGAAAAUAUCCACUGAAUGUGUUCAGAAGCUAAUGCUGGAAAGAGAUCAAUGAGGAUAAGGCCUGAGAAAAAGUCAUAGGAUUUAGCAACUUGCCUGAUAAUUUUAUUGAUAAUGUUGAGAGAGCAAUACAACACAAUGAAUAGUGCAAAUAUUAUUUCCUAUGUGGCCGAAAGGCUUUCAGCUCCAGUAUUUUCAGAUGAAUGACAGCAGAACAUUAUGGAGAAAAAGUUCAUCCUGUGCUCUAUUCUUUUAAAAUUAUAUUGAAAAAAAAAGAAUACCCAGGGUUUUGGAGUUACACGUCUCUUAAUAAUUUCAAGCAAUUAAAAGUUUUUAUUAGGCUAUUAUUUAAUACAUUAUAUAAUAUUACUUUUACAAAGUAACUGGAAGUAAUGACAGUAUGUUGAAGAUAUUAUCAAUGUUGGAGUUGAUAGAUAACCAGGCACUCCAAUGUAUAAAUGAAAAUGGAGUGGUGUGUGUAUGUGUCUGUAGCUGUAUGUACUUCACUGACAUUUUAAACCACUAAUCCAAAUGUGCAGUGAAAAAAAUGUAACCCAUACAGAAAUUUUAUCUAAAUAUAAUAAUAUAUUAUUUUCUCUAUAAUGAGCAUAGACCUAGUAAUUAAUAUGAGAACUGACAUUCUUGACUUUAACCAUGUUGUAUAUCAGAGAGGAAACCAUUCAGUAGUUAUUUUUAAACUUUUUAUUGUUCUCAAACAUUUUUUAAUGUUCAGAAAAGGAUUUGGCUUCUUUAAGAAAGUCUGUGAUGAAAUAAGUGGUAGCAUGUAUAAUUAAUGAGGGCCUGAAGAGUUAGUGAAAGGUAAGUAGAGUGGCCAGUAUAAACUCCUUUCUAAUUGGAGGGAAGCCUGUUAAGGGAAAAACAGCAUAUAGAACAUGGACAUGAGUGAGAGGGUGUGAAGGAGAAAAGGCCUCUUUUAAAAAAAAAACCAACCAUAGAAAAGAUAAGAGACACAAAGACUUUAAACCAAGAAGUGGGUAUAGAGAAAUGCUUUGGGGGUUUUUUCUAAAAUUUUUACAUCGUCUAUUGUAUUUGACCUCAAUGUUAUUGUCUUUGUAUUUUAUCUUCCUUUAUUGUUAUAAUCAUUUUGUUUGUAGCUCAUUUCAUUCUGCUUUCUUCAAAUAGCAUUAGUUUAUAUAAGUGUAAGGAGAGGAGAGUAUUCCACCACUACCAACUUCAGUUAAUAUAAUCAGUAAUGAUGAAAUUUUAAAUAAAUAGCACAAUGAUUAUAACUAAUUUUUCUGUUAAAGGUCUCUUUUCUCAAAUAUAUAAAGAACAAAGUUAAAUUUAUAAGAAUACAAGCCAUUCCCUAAUUUGACAAAUAGUCAAAGGAUAUGAAUAAACAGUUUUCAGAUGAAGAAAUCAAAAUUAUCAAUAAUCAUAUAAAAAAGUUCUAAAUCUCUCUUGAUUAGAGAAAUGCAAAUUAAAACAACUCUGAGGUACCACCUCACACCUAUUAGAUUGACCAAUAUGAUAGUAAGGGCAAGUGAUAAAUGUUGGAGGGGAUGUGGCAAAAUUGGUACACUAAUGCAUUAUUGGUGGAGUUGUGCAAUGAUCCAAUCAUUUUGGAGGAAAAUUUGGAACUAUGCCCAAAGGGCUAUAAAACUAUGUAUGUCACAUCCUAUAAUAUCAUGACUAGGUCUGUAUACCAAAGAGAUUUUUUUAAAAGGGGUGGGAGGAGGACCUACUUUUACAAAAAUAUUUAUAGCAGUCCUUUUUGUGUUGGCAAAGAAUUGGGAAUUGAGGGGAUAUCCAUUAAUUGGGGAAUAAUUGAGCAAAUUGUGCAAUAUAAUGGUGAUGGAAUACUAUUGUGCUAUAAGAAAUGAUGAAUAGGAUGAUUUUAGAAAGUGCUGGAAAGGCCUACAUGGACUGAUGCAGAGUGAAAUAAGCAGAACCAGGACACCGUACAUAGUGACAGCAAUAUUGUGGGAUAAUCAAUUGUGAAAGAAUUAACUUCUCUGCAAUAUAAUGAUUAAAGACAAUUCUGAAGAAUUUCUGAUGAAGAAUGCUAUCCAUCUCCAGAGAAAGAACUAUUGGAGUUGGAAUUCAGAUCAAAGCAUACUAUAUUUCAAUUUAGCUUUUAUAAGGUUUAAUUUUGGGGUUUUGGUUUUAUAUGAGUAUUCUCCUACAACAAUGAACAAUGGGGAAAUAUGUUUUGCAUGAUAAUACAUGUAUAACCCAGAUCAAAUUGCUUACCAUCUUCAGAAAGGUAGAGGAAAGACAAGGAAGGAGACAAUUUGAACUUUAUAACUUCAGAAAACUUAUGUAGAAAAUUGUUACUACAUGUAAUUGAUAAAAUAAGAUUUCUUUUUUAAAUUUAUCACCUAUAAUUAGAAAAAUAAAAUACUAUAUACAUAUAAUAUAUGUAACUAAUUUUUAAGUUGAAGCCAAUGUCAUGAAAAAUCUCUUUUUUGGAGAAGGAAAGAUUGUGCCCUCAGAAAGCCUGAACCAGCAGGUGACAAUGCAUCCACAUCCAUCUGGGAAUAAUGAGAAUAAAUGUGACACAAAUAUAGAAAUAUAACUACAUCUUCCCUUAGAUCUGUAUGUAAAUGAGGGAAAGUGUGACCUAAACUUUUGGAGGGAUGUUUAGUAUCAAUUGUUCUUAAUAUACUAUAUUAGUAAAUAUCUUUUCUAAAAGCUUAUUAAACUUGGCUGUUAAUGGAUGAAUAUACUCACUACUAGGGUUUCAUGAGUAAUAAUACUAGUAAUCUCUGUAACACUGAAGAUUAUCCCUAGAACUCUGAGAAUAGUGAUUUUUAGCCACUCUCUGAGGCCUCAGCCAGCAAAUACAGUUUGAGGGAAUGAUCCCAGUUUGGGGGUGGGGCACUUCACAAAUCUUUACAUAUUCAUCAUUUUCAUGAUGCAAUAAUAUUUGUAACAUUCAUAUACCGGUCUAAUCACCCAUCCCCCAAACAAGAGCUUCCCAUUAAUGUUUCUAAUUUUUGCUAUUACAAAACUUACUGCCAUGAAUAUUUUGAUCUUAUAUAGGUUUUCCUUUUGUUCUUGACCUCCAUGGGGUGAAAGUCCAGAACUGGUAUUUCUGGGUAAAAAAAAUAUGAACAAUUUAGUGAAUAAUUCCAAAUUGUCAAAUGUUUGAACAAAUUCACAAUUCCAAUCAAAAUGUAACAAUGUGCUUGUUUUCUCAUAUUCUUGAAUAGAAGAUUUUUCUGGCAAGAUGGGUCUAAGACUUUUGGAUCCUUGGGAGUGGCAGGAAUAGGAGAAGAUAAAGUUCUAGACAUAAUAAUUACAUAUAAGUUGCUAAUUAAAGAGUUUUAAUACCCUUGACAAUGGGAUUAGUCAGAAGUAGCAUGUUUUCAUAUAGCUACAAUGCUGCUUUUAAAGAAAGUUUGAAGUACUAUCAAAACAAAUAGAACCUAGAAAAUUUAUGCUUCAAAGAAGGGUCAGGAGGAGUAAAAGAUAUUUUCUUCUUGGUUCUGUUAAAAUAAACACUAAUUAAAUUAAGAAAUGUGACUUCUGGGAUUCUCAAAUAUUCCUUCACAUUGAUGGAACAGAGCCUGAAAACAAUCAUGACAUGAGAAACAUAUCAUGGUUUGUAUUGUAGAAUUUAAAAUUAAUAUCCAAAUCAAGUAUGAUUUUAAAAAAUAUUUUUAAAAGUUUAUUAUCUGACAAAAUAGAGCCACAUGACAAACUUUUCUACCUGCUCAAAAGAGCCCGCUCCACCAAAGCCACCACAGGAAGGAAAAAAAGAACUGAGAGAGGGAACUCCACCAAAUCUAUCUCCUGUUUACAUCAGCACAUAAUGACAGGAAGACAGUAGGGUGCUGGGAAUUGUAGUUUUUCAGCGGAUAGUAGUUUUGCUGGGGAUUAUAGUUUUUAGGGUAACAGAUUCAAAUUCAAAUUACUUUACAUAUAUACAAAUUAAUUAUAUAUCAUACCUUGACUAUGUUUGAGUAGCUUUAUCAUCACAAAAAAUUACCUUUACCAGUAAAUUAAUACCUUUCUCUCCUCAGUCAUCACCAGGGAUGUUAUUGAGUACAGUGACAACACACAUAAGUAGCAGAGGAAAACAAAAAAUGUAAGCAACUUCAUAACUUGGCUACAUUUAUGAAAAUUAAUGUAAUCAAUAAAUGACUAAGCAUUAAGUUGCUACUAUGUGUCAGGCACUGUGCUAUGUUCUGGGAAAGUUAAAAAAAAAAAAAGCAAAGGACAGACCCUGUCCUCAAGGAUCUUAUAAUCUAAUGAGGGAGAAAACAUGCAAACUAAUAUAUACAAUGCAAGCUAUGUAUAGGAAAUAACUAGCAGAAGGAAAGUACCGGAAUUAAAGGAGGUUAAAGAAGACUUCCUAUAGAAAGUAGAAUUUUAGUUGGAACUUAAAGUCAGAUAGGUCAAUAGAGUAUAGGAAGGAGACUGUUCCAGGCAAGGGGGACAGAUGGAGUCCUUGUUUGCAGAAGAGCUAAGAGGCAUGUUAGGGAGUAAGAUAUAAGAUUGAUAAAGUAGGCAGGUCUAGGUAAUAAAAGUCUUCAUGGCAAACAAAGCAUUUUGUAUUUGCUUCUGGAGGCAGUAGGAAGCCUGUAGGUUUUUGGUUUUUUGAUUGUGUGUGGGAGUGGUGGCUAUAUGAUUGGACAUACAACACACACAUAUAUGCCUACAGAAAGGAAACUCUCCAGGAUACCCACACAAUACAGCCAUAUCCUUUUGAAUUCUUCAUGCUCACUUGGCUUUUAUCAUCAUUCUGAAAAAAAGCCAAAUCUGCCCAAUGGCUAUAGGAUUACAGCCAGUUUCAUAAUUCACACCCUCUAUCUCUACCUUUAAAAAAAAGGGGGGGGGGGGAAUUCAUGCCAAUAGACACUGCCCUACCUUUUACUUAAAUAUUCCAGCUAAAUGUUUUCCUCACAUGGCAGCAGAGUCAGUCUAAUUACCAGCUAAGAGUGUGCCCUUCCUAUGACUCUUUCCCAAGGAGCAUGGUUGCAGCUCCUUUUAUAUCUCUGGUAAAAUGUCAUAAGAAAGAGUUAUGAAUUUUUUUUAACUGACUCAAGUCUUGUGAGUCUUUUUGGAUCAUGCAUCUUCUGAUUAAUAAGAUAACAUUAGUGUCUCCACUCCUGUUAGCCAUUUAAAAUCUCCUAAAUUUCAUACUCUUUUCUUGCUACAACUCACACAAGAAUGGGUUAUUCUCAUGGCCUCUAUGGAAAUGCAGUAGAAUAUGACUAUUUGAGGAAACUAUGACUUGGUUGAGGUUUGGGGUUAUCUUAUCUUAUAGAUCUCAUGUUUCACUUGCUAAAAAAUUAUCAGUGGUUUUAAAUAUCCAUUUCCUAAAACUGAGAGCAACUACUAUACAGGCAAAAGAAUGGGAUCCAGCCAAACCUGAGUUCCAGGUUCCAAUAAUGAAGCUUUUGGUUUUUGAUUAACCCCCAGGUGCCUUCCUUGUUCCUAUAGUGCCUAUCUUAACAUAUGCCAUGGCCCAGAUUCCUGUCUGCAGAUUUUUUCACAAUUCAUCAAAGCUGGCAUUCACUAAAUAUCUGGUAUAUAUAUGAGGAGAAUCCAUUAGCUACUCAAAAAGAUGAACUUCCAAGAGCAGGUAUAUAGUAUCUUUUUUGGCAAACUCAGCUAUUGGAAAGAUAGAGGAUCCUAUCCUUCUGUUAGUGUGUGUGGGUGUAUGUGUGUGUGUGUGUGUCUGAGCAUGCAUGUGGAAGCAUGUGUAUUUAAUAGCUUAGAAAUGACUUGAAUACUUACUUUACAUGAUUUAUAUAUCUCUUGUCCUGUAAAAUAGUAGGCCCUGGCAAGCUGUAACUAAUUUUUUUUUGUUAUGGUCCCCAAAGUUCAUCUGGAAACUGUAGAUGUCUCCCUAAGAUAAUAUGUAUAAUAUGUAUGGGAAGCCAAUGUAGUCAAACAAUUGCAUUCAAAAAAUACCACAUGGUCUGUAGGACAGAUUAGUUGAAAUUAUUUUAUUCUGAAAACUCAUGAGCAAGAAAAGUUCCACUCCUUGAAGACCAUAAUGCUCUCUUAACAAUGUGGCAAAUUUAUUACAAAAAUCAAGCCUUUCUAGAUACUGAAGUAGCCCCAGAAAGACCAAAGAUGGAAAAAUUACCCCGUCCGCAUUUUUAGGGGACAAACCUGGUUUUUCCUUCCCUCCAGAAGGACAAGAUGUUUGGGGCAGAUAACAAAAUGCUUUCUGCUUAGUUUGGGUGGCAAGAGACAAGAGGAAUUUUAAGAAUAUCAAAGGGCCAGUGAACUAACAUUUGACUAAGUGAAGAUAAACACUCCUUGGAUAAUAGCCCCAUCAUAAAUUUAAGAAUUGUCCCCCCCAUCCCAGACCCCACAUUCCUGUGUUAAGGUUUGUUUGUUAGAUAAGAACUCUGCAAUGUAUAUAAUCUGGUCUUUAAUGACAAACCAAUGCAGUUUUCCAUUAGGGAACUCUGCCCCAGAUGGUAGAUUCUUUAUUUCUCUCUUUUAUUAAUAAAUUAUGGUUCCAAUAAUCAAUAAUCUAGGUGUUUGAACUUAUUUGUGAAGUGUCCCACUUCAGUUGGAAGCCCCACCAAGAUCUCGAGCCCUGGAGGGCUGCUGUAAGAGUGUGUGUUUGUGCUUGCUUGGGGGAGAGUUCUUUAGGCCUGCGGCUGGGGUUUGCUAAGCCGGGGCCUGUGAAGGAGACUUGAAGCCUUAUCCCCUUUGGGGGUGUUUCUGAGUGCGGACUUGGAGAGUAUGCAGUUUUCAACUCCCGUGAGGGACUGGGUCAGAAAUCUGAGGAAGUGAAUGGUAUCCUCUUCGGAGUCCGCCCCUGGUUCUGGUAUUUGAGAUUUUGACCAAAAUUUAGGCUGAUUUUGGAACCAUCUGUCCUGUCCUGUUCUGUUCUGUUCUGCUCUGGUAAAUUAGCUCUGUUUCUCUAGAAUUCUGUUUUGUUUUGCCCCAGGGCCUGUUUUACUCUAGGAGUCUGCCUGCUUGAAGGCUCGGUCUUCAAGUUUCGUUUGGACCCCUAGCUACUCUACGAGUCUGCCUACUUGAAGGUUCGGGCCUGAAGUUCUGUUUGGGCCCUAGAGUCCUGUUGGCCAUGGAGUUCUGUUCUGUUCUGUAAAUCCGGAUUCAGUAGAGGCUGUUGGGUUGCUGGACGCAGCUUAGUCCCACAGUCAGGUCACUAAAGAGAUGUCUUUCAGUGACUUCAGGGAAGCUUCGGGUUCAAAGGUGUAUGAAUGUGUGAGAGAGUUUGUCCUACAGGCUUCUGUUGAGUCUUUGCUGUUUUUGUGUGUCUAAAUGAAACAAAGAAAGAGGCAAAAAGAGUUUAAGAUGCAGAGGGGAAUCUCUUUUGUAGUGACUGUUCCCUGCUCCCUCCAACUGCAUCCAAACCGGGCAGACUAUGGGGGAAGGGCUGGGCUGUGACCCACGGCAAGCUCCUAAGCAGGAGAGAGAGUCUGAAUAGGAGGGGAUUUACAAGUCCCUUCCUUGAGAAAAUCAGCCAGCCUCAGGCAACAGACCACCUGCAACCCAAUUGGGAGAUAGUUUUGUCCAGAUACUACAAGAGCAUUUUAUUAGAAAUCACCGUCAAAAAGAGAGUCAGUUUUUGAUAGAUCAGUUCAGAGAGAGCUAGGGAAUAAGAACGUCAGCUCAGCCAAUCAAAUGGCUUAGCUUACUUAUCUCAGCUUCCCCAAGUACUCUGAAACUGUUUCAAUGAAUUUUCCCCCUGCAAAUAUUUUUUUUCUUAAGAAUGGAUCCUUAAAACACUUAUUUUUUUCCUCUCAAAGCAUGCUUGUCACAGCAUUGUAUGUUACUGUUUAUCUUUGUCUUUGUCACAGUCUUGUCUCUAUGUAAAAAGGGGGGAGUUGCAAGCUUGAACUUUCCACUGUCAAAAAUCCUCAGCAGAGGACAAAAGCAAAUACCUGUUCAAUGAUUUUUCCCUCUUUCUUCCUUUGGAUGGGCCCCUAAAGUAGUGAAAGAGAGAAAAUUCUGAGCAGAAAAGGGAGAUUCUUACUCCACAGUUAGCAAUUUUCAUUUAAAAUUAAUUCUCAAUUUGGGAGGAUUGCUAAUGAUCUUGAUAUGGUACAAAUGUAAUGUAUUGUGGUUACUGUUUGUCAGUUAAAUGUGAAAUGUUGCCAGAUUUUUAUUGAGCACAAAACUCCUGGUUAGAAGUUUGUUUUGUUAAACCUUGCAAUGCAUAAUGGUUUCAGUGAAUUUGAGAAUUGUCUAAGUGUGAUUAAUAGCAAGCCUGACACAGAGAGGAAUGUUUUUUCUGUAUGGACAGAAAUUGUACUGGCUACUUUAUAGAUGUAAAAGUCAUUCAGAAAAAGUUAUAUUGUUGAGAAGAACUUAUUCUAGAAUUUAAACUUGGGAAUCUUUCAAAUCAGAUUUAUUUUAAUAUAUGUGCUGUCAGAACUAGCAGCAAGAAAUCAUAUGACACACAAGAAGUUUUUAAAGUGGUUAAUCUGUGCAUGGGAUUUAAUGAUAUAAGUGCUAAGAAUUUGAUAUUUUACAAAAGAGGAAAUUUUUUAAUGAUGUUGUCUUUGAUCAAGGUUAUAUGAAUUGUUUUUAAAUGUGCAAAAUGCAUAGGAAGGAAUUUAUAAUCUAGAGAUGAACAUGUAUUCAGAUACCAAAUGCUGGAAAUUAGUAAUGCUGAGUGAAUGCAAAAUAAGUAUGCAUUUGUAUUAUGAAGAGAAUUAAAUUUUCCACCUACAUAGGUUAAGGGUAUAUGAUAUACAAACUGUAUGUCCUUACCAAGACAAAUUUAACUGGCCCUGAAAUCAAGAGGGCUUGUCAUGAGGAUUAAAUACAGUCUAGCUUCAGAUAUAUCAAAGAGGUCAGGCUGGAAUGCCAGGUAGCAUGUAGCUAACUAGGGAAAAGUGAUUAAGUACAUGUGAAAGGAAAUAACUUUAUAUCUUAUAACCUAUCUAUAUAACUUAAAAAUUGAAUUUGGGGGUGUCUGGAUUCAUUUUAUGAAGUGUUCCACUUCAAUAAGAGUAAUGAAUAGAGAUACUAACUGAUACUAUGAAUUCUAGUGUGAAAUACACAGCAAAUUAUAAAUUGGAAUAAUGUUGAUGGACUUAAAUUAGGAAUGUAGCAAUGUUCUGAGCUAAAAGAAAACUAAACUGGAGGUUCUAUUCUACUUUAGACAGGUUUGAGAGAAGUACAGGUAAAUGCUUUGCACUUCAGUUGGGUUACAUUGAAACAUUGCUAAAGGACUUAAUCAGAGUUAUUUGGAAGUGUGGAAUUCAAACUGAAAUCCACUGAGAGUAAAUUAUUAUGAAAGGGGUUUGAUACAUUCAAACUUUUACAUUAUAGUGAGCUCACUGGUUAAAGAAGGAUGGGACAAGGUUGCUAAGUAAUAAAUUCUAAAUCAAGCCAAGGCAGCCUUAGGAUAAAUUGCUCAGAAGUUAUUAACCCCUUCCUUGCACACAGGAAGGAGAAAGAAGUGCUUAUAAUUGUUCCACACUGAUACUUAGGGAUCUAAAAAAAAAGUUGACAAUCACUGUGUGAUAGAACUUAAAGAUGAGCAUAUUUUAAUUGUACAUUUUGGAGGUUUUAAGGUGCUCAAGCAAGCAAAUAUUGCCAGCCCUGUCUGACCAAGAAGCUUGUUUGAAGCUGUGGAAUCUUAAUGCAAACAUUCCAGGUCCAGAAUGAUAAAAUGAGAUGAGUGAUAUGUAAUUUAUAAGUUGCCUCACAUGAGUUUUGGGGAUUUGUUGGUUGAUAUUUUGAUUACAUUUUGAUCUGUAUAAGGAUAUAUGUUGCAAACAGUAGCCAAAGAGUGGGUGGGAUGUUAAAAAUGGCUUAUGUGAAAAAUGCUUGCUCAGAAUUUUAUGAUUGUUAUGUGAGUUGCUGCUAAAAUAUGUAUUUAAGUAUUGUUUAGAUGUGAGCAAAGGCUUAUUGUAAACCUGUGCCAUAGAUUUUGUUCAAUACUCAGUGGUUACCUCGGCUUACCAAUUUGUACUAUGAACUGAAAUUAAUAAUGGUUGAACACUAUGCUAAAGAUAGUGGUUCAAUGAUGUAAUCCUUUAUAUCAGAAUUCGUUUGGGUUACCAAUUAGCAAUUGAAGUGAUAUCACCAGUAUGUUUGUUUGACUUAAGUUGGUCAGAGAAGGUGGAAUGGUGUGUUGGAUUUGAAUUUGGAAGAAAGGGACUUUGAUCUAAAGUCCAUAAAGCUUUAGUAUGUGGGUUUGUAAAGGAAGAAUGGAAGCUGUAUUCUGCUUUUUAAGCAGAGAGGUUUUGAAGGAAGAAAGAGAGAGAGAGAGAGAGAGAGAGAGAGAGAGAGAGAGAGAGAGAGAGAGAGAGAGAAGGUGAAAGAGAACAGAUAAAUAUUCUGCUCUCAUAAUUGGAUCUUUAACUUAGGGAUAAUAUAUAAAAUUAAUGUAUGUGUUGUGGGAAAAUCACACAUGAUUCUUUAAUUUCUCUGGACAGUUAGUUACCCUGAAGUGAUUCCUGUAUGGUCUUGUCUUAGUCUUUCAGAUGGCCUAUGUAGCAGCCCAGCCCAUAGACAUUAUGGGGAAACCAGGAAUGUGAGUGAGCACAUGGCCAUUAUGUGCAUGGCAAUGAACUUUAUUGCCAGCAUGGCUGAAGUUUAGGCGCGAAACCUUGCUUUCCUGUGUCCCACUCACCUGAGGAGUAAAACCCCACCUUCACCUUGUCAUAGGUUGUAUUAUCCAAUAGGGGUACCCCAGAUAACUCAUCCAUAUGUAUUGAGGUAUCAUAUAACUGUUCAAUAUGUAUUGAGCUGGCAAGACUAUAAAUAAACCAGCUCCGCUAAGCUCCGCCCACUGGUUCAGGAUCCCCGGGUCUGGCAAGUAGCAACUUCUCCCCUGUCCCUCUUCUCUAUCUUUCUUACUAAGGCCUGGUCCUUAGUCCAGGCCUGCCUUACUAAGGCCUGGUCCUUAGUCCAGGCCUGCCUUACUAAGGCCUGGUCCUUAGUCCAGGCCUGCCUUACUUCCUCUCUUUCUCCUAAUGCUAUCUAGCAUUAUCUACCUCUUGUAGUUCCUAGUCUCCUUUCCAUCUGCACUAGCUUUAUCCUCUGACCAGUACGGUGUUAAAAGGAGAUCAUUGGGUGGUUUCAGCCUGAAUAUUCACACCCAGUGGUCGGAGCUUAGCUGUGGCUCAUACAAAUAAUAUUCGUCUACUGACUCGGUUACUCACAUCUCUAAAGUCGGCUCGUUCACGCCCUUCGCGGGUAAAAACUUCUUCUCUAUCUCUAUCCUAUCUUUCCCCCUUGUGCAGCCUCUCGCAGGCCGAGAGACAACAGCCUAGGUCCAGGAGAUGAUACAGCCCUGAUUUAUAGUACUAUGGAGAUACUUAAUACAGAAUUCAUGUUCUUUAUUUCAGGUUUUGUGACUAAAGUGUGAUGUGUAAAUUAUUGACAAAAUACAUGAGAAUAAUUGAGUGAUCACCCUUGUAGGGAUAUCAAAGGCUUGUUUGGGGGUAUGGAGAUUUGUUUCUGGACUGCUGAUAAGCAGAAUUUCUCUCAGCUGAAAUGGGUGAGACUUGUCUUUUAAUGCAAAAGAAGGCUUCUGGGAUUUAAUGGUGACAAAGUAUACCAUGGACAGAGAAUGUCCUGGAAUGGUUACAGAGGCAUGUUCUGGUCUCACCUGGGAAUGGACCUCUUCUGACCAUAUACACUAUUAAUUACCUGCAUGUGAAGCCACUUACUGGGUCCUUUGGGACCUGAGGAAAUAUUUUCCUUGGUGACGAUAUCCCAUGAUCAGCACAUAAUGCAAAUUGUGAUAUUAAAGUUUCCAUUUCCUCAAACAACCCUAAUAAUUGGGAAUUCUCAAAUUGUUAGGAACAUACUUUGAGAAGUAGGUGAAGUUUAUUCAUAGAUGGCUUGCAUUUGUAGCCUUAAUUUACCACAGUUGAAGUUUGGAUCUUGAGCUUGGAAAUAUAGCUCAAAGCUUUCUUGAAUUUUCCCCAGAAUCUGGGAUGAAGGAAUACAUCUGUAAGAUAUUGUUACUCAAGUGUUUAUAGAUGUUUAUAGUCAAUGUGUACUUUGCAAUGGGAUAUUCUUUAACAGAGACAUCACAUACCAGCUCUGCAAACAACUCAGGAAUCCGAUUUCCUGGGGGUAUCUAUUCCUAUCAGAAGAUGAUUUCUGAAGAUGAAGUCUGUUGGCUAAGAUACCCAAAUGCAAAUCUGUAAUGUUAAUUGCUAUUGUACUAAUGUUCUGUUUCUGUCUGGUGUUCUGGUGUUUGCCCCAGUCCUGGUUUCUGCACUUCUGUCUUAGGGGCUGGCUCUCCCCCAUGUGACCUGUCUGCCAUUUGGGGAAGCAGUGGCUGAACACCCUUCAGAUCUCCAAGCAUGUCUCCACCGACCUGGGACCCCGGCAUUCACUGAGGACACACCCCUAGAGACCCUGUGUUUGUGGCCUUCCCCUCCCAGUUCAAGUUUUGGCUACUCCCCUGUGAGAUAUGUGCUCGUAGGCAUUUGUAAACUCGGCAAACAUUCCAGCCUGCAGGCCUGGAUAUUGCCUAUAGCCAAUCCCUCUCUCCUGACAAUAGGCAGGGACAGCUCUACACCCAUUCUCAGCUCUGAAGAAGCUACAGAAGACUUGGACCUUCGCCCUUUUUCCCUUAGAUACUUGGAGAGGGGAGGGGAUGGGAUGGCAGGGGGCACUGAACCAGGUGGGGCCUGAGAUUCUGGCCCUCCUGGAGGCUGUGUGGUUCCCCUAUGGAUGGCUGGGCCUGCCAGAUGGCAGGACUCACUUACCAGAAGCAGUGGAGAGACAGCUAGCAAAAAGAAUACAUGACACCACACAUAGGAGAGGCACAAAACUGAGUGAUAUGCUGGACAGAGACUUUGUCUUUCAUAAUAUGCACUGAAUCUGCAAAGACAUCGCUUAGAGAUGUGAAACAUGUGCGUGGGUUAAUCAAAAGGGGGGACCGAAGGAACCAGAGGCACCCGGUUAAGAGGGCUGAAGCCAGGAGACAGUGGGAGGUAGACUUUACAGAAAUCAAGCCAGGGGAAAAAGGGUACAGGUGCCUUUUUGUCCUGGUAGACACUUUUUCAGGUUGGGUAGAAGCAUAUCCAACAAAACAUGAAACUGCCUCAGUGGUAGUUAAGAAAUUAAUAUCAGAGAGCAUUCCUGGGUUUGGACUCCCACUGGGAAUAGGGUCAGAUAAUGGGCCUGCUUUGGUAGCCAGGGUGACUCAGCAAUUGGAAGGAGACCCUGACAAAAUUGGUCCUAGAGUCUGUUGAGAACUGGGUAAGCCUCCUCCCCUUUGCCCUCCUGAGGGCCCGGUGCACCCCAUAUGUUCAUGGUAUUACCCCAUUUGAAAUUCUGUCUGGUCAACCACCUUCCCUCCUUCCUAAAUUGGGACUAGAAAAUUUGACUAAAUGUGAUAACCAUUAUCUGUUCUCUUCCCUGAAGGCUUUGGAUAAGCUCAGGAAAACUAUCACUCAAACUGUCCGGGCCGCCCAAUUCUCACCCCUCGAAUGUGACCAGCCCCCUUUUACAGGUGAACUAGGAGAUCUUGUUUGGGUUCGGAAGAUUCCUGCAUGGGCUCUCGAACCAUGGUGGACUGGACCUUAUGUGAUAAUACUGACCACCCCCAGAGCUGUAAAGGUUGCGGGAAAGAAACGCUGGAUCCACGUGUCUCAACUGAAACCUGUUAAACCAAGAGCAGCAGGGCAAGGAGCAGAGCAGUGGAAGGUCACCAAAACUUUGGAUGCCUUAAAGAUCAAAAUUCAGAGACAUUGAACACUAUGGGAAACGGAGGAUUGGGUGGAGCUAUGCUUGGAUUUGUACUUUGGGGAUUUUUGGAAAUUAGUCUACCCUUCCAGGUAAUUCAAUACCGAUGGGUAAUCAGUAGGACAAGGGAUGGGAAGGAAUUAGUGACAGACCAACCCAGGAGGAGAAAACCCCUAAAAUCCUUUUUUGAUUUGUGUGAUUUAUUUGGGAGUAAAUGGAUAGAUCCCUCACAAACUCUUUCAUGCGCAACCCCAUCAGGGACUCUGAAUCUAUCAGAAGCCCCUGUCUAUGCUUGCCCAUCUACAGGGCCACCGUCAUGCAAAAAAGGGGGAGAAUUCUAUUGUGCAGCCUGGGGAUGUGGAACUGUUGCUCCCUGGCAGCAGGAAGACCCUGAUAUCAUACUACAAAGGGAGCGAAGCAGGGCCUGGGAUGUCCCCCUCGAUUUCAGGAAUCCCCUUUCCCUGACUAUUAAAAACCCAGAGGAUAAAGGAUGGUUACUAGGCCGGACGUGGGGACUUAUGCUGGAUAUGGGAGGCCAGGACCCAGGGAGAGAAUUUACAGAGUGGCAAAUAGCUGAAAAAAUGCAACUCUCACCAGUUGGCCAGAAUGGAGAGGUCCUUGUGGGAUUGGGGCUGGGAACCCACCCCCACUGUCUCUGCACCUGGGCAACUGUUUGAGACUGCCCUAAAGCGCCCUCACAGAGAGUGAUCCCUCCUCAAAAUGCUCACAAAUGUCCUUUUAGACCUUACUGAAUUAGAAAUGUCUGUUAAUUUCCUGGAAAAAUCACUGUCCUCUCUGGCAGAAAUGGUUCUCCAAAAUAGAUGGGGACUCAACCUCCUUUUCUUUUAGCAGGGGGGACUCUGUGUGGCAUUGGGAGAAUCCUGUUGUUUUUAUAUCAUUCUGGGAUUAUAUAGGAAUCUCUGGCCUUGCUCAGGGGAAGGAUCCAAGAGAGGACCCAGGCUAAUGUUCAAUCUAGCAACUGGUACUCCAAUCUUUUCUCUUGGUCUCCGUGGCUUACUGCUUUGAUCACGGCCAUGACAGGACCACUCAUUAUUAAUAGUGAGCCUCUUGAUAGGACCCUGCCUGAUCAACCAUCUUAUGACCUAUAUCCAUCAGCGUCUUCAGGCUAUUAAGCUUUUGGCCUUAGGAUCACAUUAUUCUCCUCUGUCUGAUGAGUCAAGGGUUUGACUCCCCCCCCCCCAACAGAAAAAGGAGGGAAUGAAGUAGCCCCAGAAAGACCAAAGAUGGAAAAAAUACCCCUGUCUGCAUUUUUAGGGAACAAACCUGGUUUUUCCUUCCCUCCAGAAGGACAAGAUGUUUGGGGCAGAUAACAAAAUGCUUUCUGCUUAGUUUGGGUGGCAAGAGACAAAAGAGGAAUUUUAAGAAUAUCAAAGGGCCAGUGAACUAACAUUUGACUAAGUGAAGAUAAACACUCCUUGGAUAACAGCCCCAUCAUAAAUUUAAGAAUUGUCCCCCCCAUCUCAGACCCCACAUUCCUGUGUUAAGGUUUGUUUGUUAGAUAAGAACUCUGCAAUGUAUAUAAUCUGGUCUUUAAUGACAAACCAAUGCAGUUUUCCAUUAGGGAACUCUGCCCCAGAUGGUAGAUUCUUUAUUUCUCUCUUUUAUUAAUAAAUUAUGGUUCCAAUAAUCAAUAAUCUAGGUGUUUGAACUCAUUUGUGAAGUGUCCCACUUCAAUACCAUAGUUAUAGGGCUAUCAUUAAUGACUUUAAGACGCCGCACACACCUUUCAUUUCUUUGCCUCUACCGCUGAUCAUAGUCUCAGAUAUAGCACCAAAUAGCUUAUGUCCAGCAAUUAUAGCAGCAGAUUGAAGUCUUGGUUCUUACCUCCCCCAGAAUAUUAUGAUGAACUCAGAAAGAACUGUUGUUAAUACUGUCACUAUGAUCCUACUAAGGAAAAUGCACAUCCAAAGCUGUUCUCUUUAUUUUGUUACUCUUCUGUUUAUUCCAGGACCAAAUUAUAGUUUUCUCUGGAUCUCCUCUUGGUCAGGUCCCACAUCCCAAGAUAGGAAUAUGGGGAAAACCACAUGAAAAAUAAUGUCCACUGAGUGUGACAUACAGAGAAUAGCUAGUUUUCUUUAAAAUAAAAUGAGCAUUUGUGACUAAAAAACUCUGUCUGGGUGCUUACAUUCCUCUAAAUCAAGAGUCCUUAAAAUGGGGUCCAAGAACCCUUAAGGACAGAUUUCAGAGAAACUAUUUACUUGGAUGAAAAAAAAAAUUAUAUCUUUAUUAUAAUUAAUCUUUAAAUGAGAUUUAGCAUUUCUUUCAAUUAGUUAAAACCAUUCUUCUGAGGACACACCAUAUUGCCUUAGGCUUUGCUAGACUGGCAAGAAAGGUUCAUGAUAAAAAAAAAAAGUUAAUAAUCCUUGUUAUAAGGAGCCAGCCAAUUUCCAUAUCCAGGUGAUAUGAUGCUCAAAUCAAUGGUAUCAAACACAUAGGAACAGGGGCCAUUCAAUCAUAUAUAAGGAUCACCAAGGGCUACAUAUUGAAAUAGAAAACCAUACAUAAAUAUAUGUACAUAUUAAUUGAUACAUAAGCAUAUUAAAAUCAAAUAAUAAAUGCAUUUUAAUCUAGUUUUGGCUGCCAUAUAAGUUACAGUGAUGGGCCUUGGGCUACAUGUUUUAUCCUUUUGCUCUAAGUGAUGCUCCAGAGCAAUUUUUUUUAAGACUCUUGCAUUCUACCUUAGAAUCAUAGCAAGUAUUGGUUCUAAGACAAAAGAGCAGUAGUGGCUAGGCAAUUGGGAGUAAGUGACUUACCCAGGGUCACACAGCUAGGAAUCUAUAGUAAUUCUUGAGAGCUCAUAGUACAUGGUCUACUCUAGGAUAGUUUUUCUCUGCUAAAGACAGAUAAUGAGGAAAUAUGAUCCUGGGAAAUAGAUAGCAUCAGGCUUUGGACUCAUCCUUUGACAAUAUUUCAUUAGUAUUCCUCCCUCCCCCCUUUACCCCAGAGGCAUCUUUCCUUUUUUUUUUUUUUAAGGCACACUAAGGUUUUAAUGUCACAGCAAGGAAGACUGUCUUACUAAUAGAAAGCCUUUUUAGGGACUAGAAAAAUAUUAGUUCCAUUUUGAACAAAAUGAGUUUAAGAUACUUAUAAGACAUAAAGAUGGAAAUGUCUAGCAGCAUUUGAUAAUGCAGUACUGGAGAACAGAACAGAGAUGUGGGGUGGUUAUAGAAAUAACACCUGAAUAAAUGAAAUCUGGUGAAUCAUCAAGAAAGAGACAAAGAAUAUGCUUUGUGUGAUAAUAGGGGAGAACACAAAAUAUUCAGGAUCUUGGAGGGUAUGCAGCUUUAAGAGGGGGUGAAAUCACAUAAUUAAAGAUUUAGAACUAGCAGAAGAUGGAGUUAAUCUAAGUCUAGUCCAUAAUUUUAUAGAUGAGGAAAUCAGUUAGGACUCAGAAAGGCUAAUUCAUUUGUCCAAGGUCCCAAAGAAUAGCAAAUCAUAGAGCCUGGAUUCAAACCUAGAUCCUCUGAUUCCAGAUCCAGCUCUCUUUCCAUUGUACCAGACUUCUUCCUAAGCUCUGACUAUGUUGGUUACUUGUACUGGGAAAGAGAAGGAAGUCAAUGGAGUUGAGAAGGUCAAAUAUCAAUAUUAAUAUAUUAAUUAAAAGUUGAUAGCUGGGGAAACAGUAAAGAAGAAAACUGUGAAAAAAAGUACCAGAUGCUGAGAAAUUUAGGAGAUUGGCCCAGCUGUCAGAUGGUGACAACAAUGAGAAUUAGAUAGUAUAAAAAGUAUGUGUGUGUUUGUGAAGAUAGCAUAAGUAAUCAUAUAUACUUCAAUAGAGAAAAGGUGAUUGAGGGAUAGAGACAAAGGAAAAGUCUGGAAACAGGAAAGAGAAGCUUGAGGGAAGUUAGUGGUAGAGAUGCAGAUUUGGAGGCCCUCUAAUGUUAUAAAAUACUCCUCCAACUCUUAAUGAAAAAAUAAGUGAGGAAAAAGCAUUUGUUAAGCACUUACUAUAUGCAAAAAGCAUAGUGCCAGGCUAAGAGAAAAUAGCCAUUGCUCUCUUAAAGCUCAUAUUCCUGUCCACAUCCAUAGAGGGAACUGUGGGGGUAGAAACACAGAAAAAGAACAUAUGAUUGAUCUCAUGGUUCAGUGGGUAUAUGAUUGGGAAUAUUGACUUUAAAUGAUUACUCUAUUGCAAAUAUUAAUUUGGAAAUAGGUUUUGAACAAUGAUGCAUUUAAAACCCAGUGGAAUUGUUCAUUGGCUCUAGGAGGGAUGUAAAAAAUAGACUCGAACUCUGGACUUCAAUCCCCAGAAGUCCUUGCUCCACUUCCCCAUGUGAAUUCUCACAUGGGCCAAGAUCAAGAAGGUAUUUAACCUGAUUACAAGAGUUUUUGGCUCUUUUUUGGACUUCUGUUUUGGAGGAGACGUGGCUCUUCCCAUAAUGUAGGUGAGGUCUUGUCUAGGCCUCUCUGGCCUAAGCAUGUUUUUCUUAUCCUUUAUUUUCUUUAAUCCUUAAUUUUUAAUAAACCCCUAAAAAAUAUAAUGCUCCUUGCAGAGAGAAACUAAUUUCUACCUACCUCAGUCUCCCCUAAAUUUUAAUCUUACAGUUUGGCAACCACAAAGGGAUAACAAAAUAUCUCAAUCUUCUGAUUUUUUUUCUGAUCUUUAGUUCAGUUUUAAUAGCUAGUGCCUAGAAAAUUUUUUUUGAGCCACGUUUCUUGGGCCGAGGUUUUUUUACCUUUGCAAAGCUUCCUGCCUGCCUCCUGCCUGCCGCCGCCAUCCGCUUUGGACUGCCCACCCUGGCUGCCCACUCCGCUUGGCCCUGCUUGUCUGUGCUCCGGCUCUGGCCUCUGGCCCUGCCCACCCCAGUGGCCUUUUCUUGCUCACCUGGCCGACCUGAUUCAACCAAGAUUGCAAUCACCUGGUGACCUGCAUGCCCAACAAACCCAGAUCCUUGGCUGGUAACAAAACGGGGGGAGGAGGGGAGGGGUAUUGGCUCCACAUGGGCGGCCUGGGCUCCACGUGGACUGGGGCAGGAGGAGGGAUCAUAGCAGGGGAGAGAGAAAGGGAGAGAGAAGAAACAGACUUUUAAGCAAUGGGCUGUUUAAAAGGAUGCCUUUUGACUCUUCUGGUAAUUUCAUUGAUUUCACCUGUGUGCCAGAAGAAACAUUCAGCCCAAAGAUUCAACUUUGAAGGGGCAAAUGGGUGGCUCAGGGAACUGAUAGCCAGGCCUACAGACAUGUGGUCCUGGGUUAAAAUCUGGCCUCAGAUACUUCCCAGCUGUGGGGAGCUGGACAGGUCCCUUAACCCCCAUUGCCUAGCCCUUACCACUCUGCCUUCAGACAAUAGGCAUUUAAAUGGAUAAUCAAAAACAAACAAACAAACAAACAAAAACCCUAAGGAAUUUUAAAGACUGGAGGUUAUGAUUUUUAAGGCAUUUCAGACUCCAAUGGUUAUAAAAAUCUCUGACUCUAUUGCAUUUUUCCCGAUUGUUUUGUUUAAGAUAUAACUUUGUGAUUUUAAGUUCAUAUAUUACUGGAUUCAAUAUUAUUCUGCUAUACUGUUCAUUUUAUGUACUGAGUUUUAAAAUUCUGUUGUUUUUCCCCUAUAACUGUGCUGAACAAAUAUUAUUGAAUAAGCCCAUAUAUGAAAAAACAGCUUUUUCCUAUUUUGCCAAGUAUAGAUGGACUUCAGAACUGGUUACAAUUGCUAUAACAACUUUGGAAAAUUUAAUAUGCUAAAUAUCUUAAUGAUUUUAAGGGUUUUUUAAAUAUGAUUUUUAUAAUUUUUUUUAACAAUCUCUGGUCAUUUUUGCCUGCCCCUACUACAAGGGAAGGCCCAUUACAAUAGCUGAAGUGAAAUACAUUUUAUAACCCCCAACCUUCCCGCAUUUCUAAAUAUGUGAAUGGAAGUUGGGCAGUUAAUCUCAGGGCAUUUGUAUCCCUAAAAAGCCUCCAAAAAAAGGAGCACCCCUUUAUUUAUAUUCUUCAGCUCAUAUAGAUUUCUUGAUUUUGUUCUUAACCCAAUAUGAGUUUUACUUUGUUUUAAAAAAUAUGUUUGAGAGACUACCAUUAUACUAUACUAGGUAAAAUGGGCUCAAAAACAUAUAUCAAGGACAACCUUGAAGGGGAAAGCAAUCACGCAAUGUUAGCAAAGGGGUGCUUUAUUUUUUUUUUUUGGUUUAAUUUUGGUAUUGUCAUUAACUAUGGAAUAAAGUCCCACUACACUUCAGUGUAGCAUUUGUAAACUUAAAAAAAAUAUAUGUUUGAAUACCAAGGUUCAAAGAUUGCUAUGUUUGUAAAAAUUGUGACAAAUAUCCAUCAAUUCAUAGAUUUAAAAAAAUGCCAUAAAGCAACUUAUGUGAAAUAUGAUAGUGUGUUUGUUGGCUAUUGUGCUUAAUUGGGCUAUUGAGAAUUUUGGGGAUAUUGAUACCUACAUAUUUGUACUACUAUUCUUUAAAAAUGAAAAAUAUACCUUGCUCAAUUCAUUUGCCUUCUACUCACAGUGAUCAUGACCAGAUACAAAGAGGAAAUGGAUCUCAUUUUUGGUGAGAAAGCUUCAUAAUCUUUAUUUUCUUAGCUGACACAGUGUGUCAAUGAUUAUAAGCUAUAUUUUUUUAUUUUUUAAAGCUCGUUUAUUAUUAUAUUUUUCUUGCAUGUGCAAUAUACUAUUUGUUUUUUUUUCUCUCCUUUUAUAUUUGAAGCACAUGUCACCAGCAUUAAUAUUUUCUUUAACCUUUUGAUUUUUCAGUACUACAAGUUUAAAAUACAUUUGCUAAUGCAUGCCCUAAAAAGCUUGUGACUAUAAAAAUGAUGCCACUAAUUAUUUAAAUAAAUUAUGGGACUUUGCUUAAUGAUUCUGUUUGAUUCCAAGACAAGAUGUACACACAAGAGCCAUUGCACAGAGCCAAAGAAAAGCCAAUCCAGGAUGGAUUGAUGCACUUCUAGGCCAAUACAAAGGUCUUGAACCUAGUGUGAAGACUCGAGGUUACUGUGUUUAACAUUGUUAGACAUAGGCUUUCCUUGUGUCCACACUCACUCUGAAAAUACAGGCGAGUAUCCCCGAAACCUUGGCUCAUAAUCUGGUCCCCUUUUCUGCCUUUCAUAGUGUGGUACCUUUCUGUAGUCCUGGAUACUGCCUGGGUAAAUGCGUCAUUGCUUAGAUCAUUUUGAUUGGGCCCUGAUUCAAGGUCCUGUUAUAGAUUUAUUUUUCUUUUUACUUAGAAUUUUUUCACAUAAGACUUUGAUAGUCUAUAUUUUCAUCCAGAGUUUUUUCUUUUUUUAUUUGGAUUUUUCUGAUGUCUUUUUAAUAUCUCUUACCAAUUGGUUCAUAUACUUCAUACCUCAGCCAUGCAUCCCCAAGUGAUUCUUUUUUUCCAAUCACCCUUUUAACCGGGGGAAUGUAAAAAUACCAUUAUUUAAAUUGCAAAGUUUAAAUUCCUUUUGAGAAGAAUUUUAGGUAAAGAAGAUGCUACCUCUCUGAAUACACAACUGAACUGUUGGAGAAGAAACCACGAAGAAGCUUCCAGACCAGUCAGCUGCACAAAAAAUUGAACUUUGGGAGGAUUGUGGAAGAGAGAACCAAUAGCACACAAGAGAUGAUAUCUAAGAAUAAAGUCAGCAAUACCAUAGAAUCAUAGAAUGGAAGAGUUGGAGGAACCUUGAUGGCCAAUGUGUACCUGGAGAUCACCUGGGAGAGGGGGGCAAGUUAUUGCUGUGAACUUUGAUUUAAAUGUGAGCAAUUUUAGGAUAAGAAACUUGCUACCUCCCAGGAUCCAGAAUGCUAUAUGAAGAUAAAUGCCUGUAGAGACCACAUGCUGCACCAGAAGAUCCAGAGUGAACUUUGGGAUGUGAAUUGAACUAUGGGAAGUUGAAAUGCCUUUGUUUUGAAUGUAUUCUCUUAUGCCAAAGGGGACUGCCCCCAAAUUGGCUUUUCGUCAACCUAGUAAUCAUUGGUUUUGUUCUCUUUUCCUUUUAUCCACAAAUUAUUACAAUCUUUAAGUUGAUUAUGUUUCCAUGAUCCUUUUGGGGAAACUGGUUUCCCAAAAGGAUGGGAGGGGGAUGUGUAAAUAGAGAUUUUGAGCAUUUGGACUUCAUCUCCCAGAAGUCCCUUAGUAUUUCCCAAAAUUCCCUUUUCUUGGGUCUCCGGUGAUUGUAUUUAAGUGGCUGUAACUCCUCCCUCUUUUUCUCUAUUUUGGACCUGCAAGGGGUAUGAAUUCAGGCAGUUCUUUUGCCCUAGUUACUAUUAAUUAAACUUUUAAAAUAUAAUACUUAGUUAUUGAAUAUUAAUUUUAAAACUCACACUAUAACAGAAUCACCCCUUAUCACACACCUGACAAGAGGUCAUUCAGAAUUCAAUAAAUGUUGUUUGGAUUAAAAAAAAAAAAA